UUAGAACCACCUGGUGCCAAUUAACUCGAGGCAAGGUGACUGAGGCACAUUUUCACCUCUUAGCCGCUACAAAGAGUCAAUCAUUAACUUACAUUUAAUUGGGAAAUUAAAAGAAAUAUAGAAGUGAAAAUGGAACGGUAACGGGAAAAUACUUUAGGUAGCGACUAAUAGACUUGUGAACGUCUUGUUUUGUUUAACUUCCGGUGCGGCAGGCGGGCGUUUCCAACAGAAAGGUACCAGACGGAGGCUGCACCCCAUGCGCUCCUCGCCCUACUCUAAAUGGUGUUAAGGUCUUCAGGAGCUGGCCGACUGGUUUGCACUGUUUCAAUAUUCUCACCAGCCAACAUGUCAGGGAGGGAGCCACAAAGAUCCCCAGGGAGGACUUCUGGCAGUUUCCAAUGAAAAAUGACAAAAUGGGGAUUCAUACAGAGACACCAGGCUGAUGGACUCAAAGUCCUGGUCUGGAUUCUGCUGUUUACCAGUGGGAAUGUUCUCCAGCCAUAAUCACAACCUCUGUGUGUGGCGUGUUAGGACAGCCGCUGGAGAGGGGGAAAUUGCUGCCCUUGCACCUUGCAUUCUUGGACCUGGC